rnacentral:rRNA from 1 species
UGAUGGUGAUAUGGUUUCACAUUGUUGAGCUGUUGGGGGUGGCACAAGCUAGGGGGUAGCGACUGUUUACCAAAAACACAGGAGCGUGCGAAGGCGUAAGCCGCUGUAUACGCUCUGACGCCUGCCCGGUGCCGGAAGGUUAAGAGGAUCCGUUAGCUUCGGUGAAGCGGUGAAUUUAAGCCCCGGUAAACGGCGGUGGUAACUAUAACCAUCCUAAGGUAGCGAAAUUCCUUGUCGGGUAAGUUCCGACCUGCACGAAUGGCGUAACGACUUCCCCACUGUCUCGGCCAGGAGCCCGGCGAAAUUGCAGUACGAGUAAAGAUGCUCGUUAAGCGCAGAAGGACGAAAAGACCCCGGGACCUUUACUAUACCUUGGUAUUGUCGUUAGGUGUGGAUCGUGUAGCAUAGGCGGGAGGCUGUGAAGCGUGGGCGCUAGCUUGCGUGGAGUCGAUCAGUGAAAUACCGCUCUUUCCAUAUCUGGCGUCUAACCUCGACACGUUAUCCGUGUUAGGGACAGUGCCUGGCGGGUAGUUUAACUGGGGCGGUUGCCUCCUAAAGAGUAACGGAGGCGCUCAAUGGUCCGCUCAGCCCGGUUGGCAAUCGGGUGUUGAGUGUAAUCGCACAAGCGGGCUUGACUGUGAGACUGACGGGUCGAGCAGGGACGAAAGUCGGAGAUAGUGAUCCGGUGCCGGCGUACGGACGUGGCAUCGCUCAACGGAUAAAAGGUACCCCGGGGAUAACAGGCUGAUCAUUCCCAAGAGUCCAUAUCGACGGGAUGGUUUGGCACCUCGAUGUCGGCUCGUCGCAUCCUGGGGCUGGAGCAGGUCCCAAGGGUUCGGCUGUUCGCCGAUUAAAGCGGCACGCGAGCUGGGUUCAGAACGUCGUGAGACAGUUUGGUCUCUAUCCUCUGCGCUCGUUGGAAUGUUGAGGAGACCUGCCCAUAGUACGAGAGGACCUGGGUGGACGAACCUCUGGUAUGCCGGUCGUCACGCCAGUGGCGCUGCCGGUUAGCUACGUUUGGAAGGGAUAACCGCUGAAAGCAUCUAAGCGGGAAGCCUGCUCCAAGAUUAGCAUUCCUUGCACUUUGUGUGUGAGCCCCCAUGUAGAACACGUGGUUGAUAGGCUGGAUGUGGAAGCCCUGUAAGGGGUGGAGCUGACCAGUACUAAUGGGCGAUUGUGA